GAUGAACGCUGGCGGCGUGCCUAAUACAUGCAAGUCGAGCGAACGGACGAGAAGCUUGCUUCUCUGAUGUUAGCGGCGGACGGGUGAGUAACACGUGGAUAACCUACCUAUAAGACUGGGAUAACUUCGGGAAACCGGAGCUAAUACCGGAUAAUAUUUUGAACCGCAUGGUUCAAAAGUGAAAGACGGUCUUGCUGUCACUUAUAGAUGGAUCCGCGCUGCAUUAGCUAGUUGGUAAGGUAACGGCUUACCAAGGCAACGAUGCAUAGCCGACCUGAGAGGGUGAUCGGCCACACUGGAACUGAGACACGGUCCAGACUCCUACGGGAGGCAGCAGUAGGGAAUCUUCCGCAAUGGGCGAAAGCCUGACGGAGCAACGCCGCGUGAGUGAUGAAGGUCUUCGGAUCGUAAAACUCUGUUAUUAGGGAAGAACAUAUGUGUAAGUAACUGUGCACAUCUUGACGGUACCUAAUCAGGAAGCCACGGCUAACUACGUGCCAGCAGCCGCGGUAAUACGUAGGUGGCAAGCGUUAUCCGGAAUUAUUGGGCGUAAAGCGCGCGUAGGCGGUUUUUUAAGUCUGAUGUGAAAGCCCACGGCUCAACCGUGGAGGGUCAUUGGAAACUGGAAAACUUGAGUGCAGAAGAGGAAAGUGGAAUUCCAUGUGUAGCGGUGAAAUGCGCAGAGAUAUGGAGGAACACCAGUGGCGAAGGCGACUUUCUGGUCUGUAACUGACGCUGAUGUGCGAAAGCGUGGGGAUCAAACAGGAUUAGAUACCCUGGUAGUCCACGCCGUAAACGAUGAGUGCUAAGUGUUAGGGGGUUUCCGCCCCUUAGUGCUGCAGCUAACGCAUUAAGCACUCCGCCUGGGGAGUACGACCGCAAGGUUGAAACUCAAAGGAAUUGACGGGGACCCGCACAAGCGGUGGAGCAUGUGGUUUAAUUCGAAGCAACGCGAAGAACCUUACCAAAUCUUGACAUCCUUUGACAACUCUAGAGAUAGAGCCUUCCCCUUCGGGGGACAAAGUGACAGGUGGUGCAUGGUUGUCGUCAGCUCGUGUCGUGAGAUGUUGAGUUAAGUCCCGCAACGAGCGCAACCCUUAAGCUUAGUUGCCAUCAUUAAGUUGGGCACUCUAAGUUGACUGCCGGUGACAAACCGGAGGAAGGUGGGGAUGACGUCAAAUCAUCAUGCCCCUUAUGAUUUGGGCUACACACGUGCUACAAUGGACAAUACAAAGGGCAGCGAAACCGCGAGGUCAAGCAAAUCCCAUAAAGUUGUUCUCAGUUCGGAUUGUAGUCUGCAACUCGACUACAUGAAGCUGGAAUCGCUAGUAAUCGUAGAUCAGCAUGCUACGGUGAAUACGUUCCCGGGUCU
rnacentral:rRNA from 1 species